CUGCAAUGAUGAGUUGCUUUCGGUCUGUGUUUCUGAUGUAAAUAUGACGAUAUGAAAGCUCUGAGCAG